GCCAGAGGCUGGUGACAGCAGCAGCUGGUAGGAAGGAUGCAAGAGACCCAGCGCCGGGAGAUCACCGACCCUCCGGGCGCUGCGCUCCAGGUCCUGAACUCACUUCCGCGCUCGCUCCCCAGGAGCUAGUCUUGGAUGCAGUUGCCCGUGUGUGGGGAUCCACCCAGCGGCACCUUCCCCCCACCUCCACCACGGCAGCCAUGAGGCCUGACGCACAGCCACAAGGAUAGGUCUGUUCUGAGCCCCACCUUCAGAGACUGCUUCUGUCUUCACUCGGGGAGAGCACGUUCAGAGAAGGAAGAAACCACACCCAGGAGGGUGAAUGCCUUACAGCCAAUUGCUCAGGGAAUCUAAAGAGCUUUUGAAGUAGCAGGUGGCAGCCUGAGAGCCUUUGAACCAGCUUCUACUUACUUACUGGCUAAAGAGAAAUCCGGUUUUAAUCGAAGAGAAAAUCUUCAGAGGUGUCUGGGGGCACCAGGGCCUCUUAGAACCUGUCUCCCCAAGGUCUGUAUCCGUUAGCAGCCAUUCCAACCGAUUCCUCUUAAAGUGGCAGCAAGUCACCGACAGAGGGUUGUGUUGACCAACAGCCACAGACUUUUGUUUCUCAAACCAAACCUGAUGAAAUAUCACUUGAGACCCUUCUACAUCUUGACACGAGUUCACCCUGGAAUUUUCCCUACUGCUAGACGUGUUAGGGACCUUCUUUUUGUGAAUCGGUGAAUCGAUUUCUCUAGCCUUUUUUUUAUUUAAAAAAAUUUCAUUGGCGUAUA